ACCCACGGAGGCCGCGCGCUGGCUCCGCUCGCGCGCCGUCGCGGCCCGGCCCGGCGGUGCUGCUCGUCGCGUGGGCACGCGCCCGCUUCGCCUUUUUUUUCCUCGAAACGUAAAUGCUGCUUCGUAGCAAGGUGACAUGGUUGCUGCCUUUUGCUGGGUGACCGUGUUCUCCCCAGACGUCUCUGUCAUCCCCCGCGCUCUUCGCAAACUGGAGGAGUAGCUCACGUUGUGACUGCUGUAGCUGUUCAGAAGGUAGAGUCACAUGCUGUCACCACAUGGAUUUCAUAGUUGUGUUGGAGGAAGGGGGUAACAAUGGACUUUCUGACCCCAGCACGGUCCUCUGUAACUGUGAUUAAGACUAAUCUCUGUUGGUGCAACAGUUGUAGAGGAGGUAGGCUCGUGUACAUCCAGCCACAAAUGGAUUGUUUAAACUGUGCAUGUUAAGGGAGCCCCACUUGCAGAAGUGGGGCUCCCACUGCUUCAGCAAAAGUCCUUUGGAUUUUCUGUUAAAUUAAAACAAAGGUUUGGGAGAAUUUAAGUUUUCAGAUCCUGCCCAAGGACACUUCUAUAUCACUGAAUUAUAGAGAAGAUUAUUACAAUUCAUGCCUUAUGCAGAUUCUGUCACAAACAUGCAAAUACUGUCAACUUAAUUACAGUUAUCCUGGACAAAGAUUUUGCUACUAUGUCCUAGCAGGUGCCUGUAGUUCCGCGGCUUUUCUGCAGUCAAAAUAAAAUGUUUGUAUUAAGAGUAUGACAUUCCAGAACCAUUCAUGACACUUGUAAACUUGAAAGCAAGAUUUUAUAAGAAAAUAAAAUUUCAUAUUUGUAAAAUACA